rnacentral:lncRNA from 1 species
CUCCCAGCUACUACCUAGGUGCUUUUGAAACAGGUGCUUCUUGACUGGGAAGGAGUGGAAGAGGUCCUAGGUGCAGAAGGGUAUGGAAGAUAAGGUCAAAGGAUGUGCUGGUGGGAAUGGGAGACAACUGAGAAGGUGAGACAAGCUGGAGGAAAUGUCAGGAGCUGCUGAGAGAAGCUCAGCCUGACCAGAGAUGAGAAUUGCCAUCUUGAAUCGUCAGGAAGUGAAGGAAAGCCCAGGUGAAUGCCACCCAAUCAAAAAGAAAAAACAAAUGCAGAUGGUAAGGUAGAGAAGGCUCUGAAGCCCAGGUAAUGAGAGCCAUGUUACCCUGGACAGAAGCAUCCAACACCACACAUCUCCAAGGAUGUUGGAGAUCCAGCAUCUGGAUCCAGCUAACUUCUGCAUCCUCUUCUGUACUCACAAGAGUUAACAUGGACGUCCAUGCAUCUGCUGGACAACACCCCCUAGAACGAGUGUCUUUGUAUGUUUUCACACACAUAAUGAUGUUAUAUCUGCUGCCAUCCUACUGAGUAAGGG